AGACUAGGACAUUCUCCUUCCAAAAAAGGCAUGCCUUUUGAUGUGUGUUUGGACAUUGGAUAGAGAGAACCAUGUUGGACCUCUACAAAUGGAGGGCAGAGGUCAGGGAACUGCAGUGUAAAUCAUUGACAAGCGAGAGUAUCCUCGCUGUGCUGCACACACUCUCAAAUGUUUUUCCUUCCCAGUUCUUCCUUUUUAUUUUUCACUUUAUUCAAGUCAUGUCUUGAAUUAUUUUAUCAAGUUUUCUGUCUUUUCCAGGCAAAGCACUCACUGAAGUGCGAAUAUUUUGGUUGUAGUGGGAAACAUUCCCCUUAUUACUAUAAGUGCCCUUUCUGGAAAGAGAUGCAGUUGUCAUCAUACUAAUUUGAAAGUGUUACAGCCGACAGAUGAAACGCAUACCCUUCACAGCUGAGGAUGUGGUGAGACCCGUCACAUGCUGUAAUCGCAAAGAGUCACCAUUAGGAGAAAAACACAGAGGGACACACACUGAAUGAAAGAGUGAAGAUCAAAAUUAUCUGUUUCAUCGCUGUCUUGUUUUGGCUGCCAAGUCACCGUGAGAAGGCCAGCAUGGGUGAAGGCAACGUGGAGGAGAGCGAGUGACUGGAAUGGGGAAGAGGAGGAGGGGAUCUGAAGGAACGAAGGGGCAUUAUGUAAUUCCCAAGAGGAGCCAUGGGAUUUCUGAAUAUGAAACAGGUGUGAGAGAAACACCUUUGGAGAGGGAGACCGAAAUGUUCUCAUGCUGCUUCAUAGUUUGGCAAAUGUUGAAAGUCUUUAAUCUUCAUAACUGGAGGAAUUAUAUCUGCACUUGAACUUGGAUAGCUGUGUUUCUCAGUGAGACUAUCACUCUAGGUCUUGAUUGAUGAUACGAAUUUAUUGCCAUACAGAAUUAGGUCAAAAAGAAGAAAUAUUAUGUCCAUGUAUAGCCAGAUUUAUGUUGGACAGUAUAUCAAAUUGUUUUAUGCUAUUUAAGCACUGUCUCAUCACACAUACCAGAGCAGUUCAAAAUAAAACUUGAAGCAAUAGAAAAAUUAA